UACGGAGGGUGCGAGCGUUGUCCGGAAUCACUGGGCGUAAAGGGUGCGUAGGCGGGUCUUUAAGUCAGGGGUGAAAUCCUGGAGCUCAACUCCAGAACUGCCUUUGAUACUGAAGAUCUUGAGUUCGGGAGAGGUGAGUGGAACUGCGAGUGUAGAGGUGAAAUUCGUAGAUAUUCGCAAGAACACCGGUGGCGAAGGCGGCCCACUGGAUCGGUACUGACGCUGAGGUGCGAAAGCGUGGGGAGCAAACAGG
rnacentral:rRNA from 1 species